rnacentral:lncRNA from 1 species
CGCAGUCACCCCGUCCAGGUUUUGCUAAUCGAUUACUUUUGAAUAAUUCCUCAAUUACUUUCGUGGGGCGGUAAUUGGUAACUGUAACCAAUUACAUUUUUGAGCGAUCUAACUGUAAUUGGUU